rnacentral:rRNA from 1 species
GGUUUCUUGAAUUUAAAAUUAAGAGAUUUGGCCUGCCCACUGAAUUUAAUUUGAAGGGCCGCGGUAUUUUGACUGUGCAAAGGUAGCAUAAUCAUUAGUCUUUUAAUUAAAGGCUAGAAUGAAUGGUUAGACGAGGUAAAUUCUUUAUUCUUUUAUAUUUUAUUGAAUUUUUAUUUUAAGUAAAAAUACUUAAAUUUUUUUAAGGGACGAGAAGACCCUAUAGAGUUUUAUAUUUUUUAUUAUUUAUUUUGGUUUAUUUUUUAAAUUUUUAAUUGAUGUUAAAAAUUAUUUCAUUGGGGUGAUUAAGAGAUAAAUUUAACUCUUUUUUGAUUUUUAUAUUUUAAUAAGUUUAUUUGAUCCAUUAUUUAUGAUUAAAAGAUUAAAUUACCUUAGGGAUAACAGCAUAAUUUUUUUUAAGAGUUCUUAUCGAAAAAAUGGAUUGUGACCUCGAUGUUGGAUUAAGAUAAAAUUUGGGUGUAGAUGUUCAAUUAUUUAGGUCUGUUCGACCUUUAAAAUCUUACA